UGCCCACAAAUGUUCAUAGCAGGUUUAUUCAUAAUAGCCAAAGACUACAAACAACCAAACGUCUAUAAACAAAGUCAUAAUACAUUGUGAUGUAUUCAUAUGAUGGAAUACUAAGCAUAAGAGGAACAAACUACUGAUACAUACCACAGCAUAAACGAAUCUCAAAAGCACUGGAUUAAAUAAACCGCUCUACAAUUCUGUAUGAAGAAUCUUGCUGUGUUGCCCAGGCAGGAAUGCAGUGGUGCAAUCACGGCUCACUGCAGCCUCUACCUCCUAGGCUCAAGCAAUCCUCAGCCUCCUGAGAGUAGCUGGGACUACAGGUAUGUGUCACCACACCCAGCUAAUUUUUUCAUUUUGUUGUAGAGAUAAGGUCUUGCUUAAAAUACCUUUAUAAGCCAGGCACAAAAACACAUACUUUGCAUGUUCUCAUUUGUGGGAGCUAAAAAUUAAAACAAUUGAACAACUCAUGGAGCUAGAGAGUAGAACCAUGGUAUGAGAGGUUAGGAAGGAUAGUGGGGAGGGUAGUGGGGUUAAUGAGUAUAACAAUAUACUUGGAUAGAAUGGAUAAGAUCUAGCAUUUGAUAGUACAACAGGGUAACUACAGUCAACAAUAAUUUAUUGUACAUUUAAAAACAGCUAAAAGAGGCCGGGUGCAGUGGCUCACGCCUGUAAUCCUGGCACUUUGGGAGACUGAGGCGGGUGGAUCACCUGAGGUCAGGAGUUCGAGACCAGCCUGGCCAACAUGGUGAAACCCCAUCUCUACAAAAAAUACAAAAAUUAGGCCGGGCGCGAUGGCUCACGCCUGUAAUCCUAGCACUUUGGGAGGCUGAGAUGGGCGGAACAGGAGGUCAGGAGAUCGAGACUAUCCUGGCUAACAUGGUGAAACCCCGUCUCUACUAAAAAUACAAAAAAAAUUAUCUGGGUGUGGUG
rnacentral:lncRNA from 1 species